CUGGCUACGGAGCAAGCAUGUUACGUAUAUAGAAGUCACCGCAGGCGCUCAGCUGAGGGCGCAGUCGACGGUAUGGCCAGGACCACGGGUACUGCUGUCAGAGUGCAGGUGCUGGUGUUGGCCGCGAUGGUGGUGGUCGUGGCUCUGACGACGCCUGCGACCUGCCAGCGGUCUGGCGCCAAUCCAGGACGAGUGCGGUGCCCGGUCUGCAGGCCAGUGGACCGGCGCCAGUGCGCCUCGCUCGGGGGCGUUGUCGUCGUGCCUGGAGGGCUCUGCGGCAAGUGCCCCGUCUGCAGGCUCGUCGGCUAACGACGUGGCACGCCUUCACUGGCGCUAGAGUCAACAUUCUCUUCUUCAAGCACGUGAGUUUACGAAACUAACACAGCGAGCCUGAGAUGAAACGGUCGCGCACAGGGUGGUCUAAGGAGCACGAAAGAGAAGAACAGUGACAUCUCACUUACAAAGAAAAUGUUUCCCAGACUGAAUGAUUGUAGUAAAAACAUUAAUAAACCUGUUUUGCGCAA